AGUCAGCCGAGGCUAUCUUUUAUCAGUUCAGGGCAGACUUACAGCAGAACACCCACAAGGUGAAGUAGUUAUGGUACGAGCAAGAAAUUUGAUAUCUAUCUAUGGAGUUAUGAACCCUCUCUGCAUGAUAGAAGGACCAUUGUUUCUCCGUCUUCUCCGUCUUCUUAACAAGAUUCCCACUGUCGCUAUCUACUAUGGAGCGAAACCUCAGUCAAGGGAACGGGCUUGGUUCAGAAUCAGCGGGGAAAGAAGACCCUGUUGAGCUUGACUCUAGUUUGAUAUUAUGAAAAGGCAUAAAAGGUGUAGAAUAAGUAGGAGCUCCGGUGCCAGUGAAAUAACACUACGUCCAUUGUUUUUUGACUAAUGAAAGAUUACUCCAAGUACUUUUUUUGAAAUCCAGAAACUGUCUACUGGGGAGUUUGGCUGGGAAGUACUUUUUUUGAAAUCCAGAAACUGUCUAAUGGGGAGUUUGGCUGGGGCAGCACAUCUGUUAAAUAAUAAUGCAGUGUCUUAAGAGGGUCUCAUGGAGACAGAAAGCUCCAGUAGAAUAAAAGGAUAAAGGCCGCUUGAUUCUGAUUUUCAGUGUGAUUACAAACCAUAAAAGUGUGGCCUAUCGAUCCAUUAUAUUCACCUCAGAAUUUGAGGCUAGAGGUGCCAGAAAAGCUACCACAGGGAUAACUGGCUUGUAAAAGUCAAGCUUUCAUAGCGACAUUGCAUUUUGAUUCUUCGAUGUCUGCUCUUCCUAUCAUACCGAAGCAGAAUUCGGUAGGCGUUGGAUUGUUCACGCACUAAUAGGGACGUGAGCUGGGUUUAGACCGUCGUGAGACAGGUUAGUUUUACCCUACUAAUGGACAAUUGUUCCGUCUCUGCUCCGUCUUCCCGCCUCUUUACUCCCCUUUUUCGAAUAGUUAUAUAAACAGCUCUGAUUCCUCCUUUGAGAAAACAUCAACGAAUACAGCGAGCUUAGUACUAAAGUUGUACCUAGAAUCUAGCAGGUA
rnacentral:rRNA from 1 species